AGUGAACGCUGGCGGUAGGCCUAACACAUGCAAGUCGAACGGCAGCACAGUAAGAGCUUGCUCUUACGGGUGGCGAGUGGCGGACGGGUGAGGAAUACAUCGGAAUCUACUUUUUCGUGGGGGAUAACGUAGGGAAACUUACGCUAAUACCGCAUACGACCUACGGGUGAAAGCAGGGGAUCUUCGGACCUUGCGCGAUUGAAUGAGCCGAUGUCGGAUUAGCUAGUUGGCGGGGGAAAGGCCCACCAAGGCGACGAUCCGUAGCUGGUCUGAGAGGAUGAUCAGCCACACUGGAACUGAGACACGGUCCAGACUCCUACGGGAGGCAGCAGUGGGGAAUAUUGGACAAAGGGCGCAAGCCUGAUCCAGCCAUACCGCGUGGGUGAAGAAGGCCUUCGGGUUGUAAAGCCCUUUUGUUGGGAAAGAAAAGCAGCAGGUUAAUACCCCGCUGUUCUGACGGUACCCAAAGAAUAAGCACCGGCUAACUUCGUG
rnacentral:rRNA from 1 species